UCCGGAAUUAUUGGGCGUAAAGCGUCCGCAGGCGGCCCUUCAAGUCUGCUGUUAAAAAGUGGAGCUUAACUCCAUCAUGGCAGUGGAAACUGUUGGGCUUGAGUGUGGUAGGGGCAGAGGGAAUUCCCGGUGUAGCGGUGAAAUGCGUAGAUAUCGGGAAGAACACCAGUGGCGAAGGCGCUCUGCUGGGCCAUCACUGACGCUCAUGGACGAAAGCCAGGGGAGCGAAAGGGAUUAGAUACCCCUGUAGUCCUGGCCGUAAACGAUGAACACUAGGUGUCGGGGGAAUCGACCCCCUCGGUGUCGUAGACAACGCGUU
rnacentral:rRNA from 1 species